rnacentral:rRNA from 1 species
AACGAACGCUGGCGGCGCGCCUAAUACAUGCAAGUCGAGCGAGAAGACGUAGCAAUACGUUUGUAAAGCGGCGAACGGGUGAGGAAUACAUGGGUAACCUACCCUCGAGUGGGGAAUAACUAGCCGAAAGGUUAGCUAAUACCGCGUACGCUCCUUGGACUUCGGUUCAGGGAGGAAAGCGAUACCGUGGGUAUCGCGCUCUUGGAUGGGCUCAUGUCCUAUCAGCUUGUUGGUGAGGAACGGCUCACCAAGGCUUCGACGGGUAGCUGGUCUGAGAGGACGAUCAGCCACACUGGCACUGCGACACGGGCCAGACUCCUACGGGAGGCAGCAGUAAGGAUAUUGCGCAAUGGGCGAAAGCCUGACGCAGCGACGCCGCGUGGGGGAUGAAGGUCUU